rnacentral:rRNA from 1 species
AUUGAACGCUGGCGGCAGGCCUAACACAUGCAAGUCGAACGAGUGGCGGACGGGUGAGUAAUGUCUGGGAAACUGCCUGAUGGAGGGGGAUAACUACUGGAAACGGUAGCUAAUACCGCAUACCAUCAGAUGUGCCCAGAUGGGAUUAGCUAGUUGGUGGGGUAACGGUUCACCAAGACGACGAUCCCUAGUUGGUCUGAGAGGAUGACCAGCAACACUGGAACUUGGACACGGUCCAGACGCCUACGGGAGGCAGCAGUGGGGAAUAUUGCACAAUGGGCGCAAGUCUUAUGCAGCCAUGCCGCGGGUAUGAAGAAGGCCUUCGGGUUGUAAAGUACUUUCAGCGGGGAGGCGUUACCCGCAGAAGAAGCACCGGCUAACGCCGUGCCAGCAGCCGCGGUAAUAC